ACUGUUGUAAAAGAGCAACGAGUAGACGGUAGUUGACGCAGCAAUGCGUUUAAGGUGUACUCUAAUGGGUUCCGAAAGGAAUUAUCAAAUCAGAGUCCUUUCUUAGGGAAUACAAAAUUUGUAAGAUAUUGUAGCAAUUUAAGUAUAAAUUACCAACUAGCCCCUUACACAUUAACUGGGCUUGUAGACGCAGAAGGAUGUUUUAGAAUUUCUAUUUUAAGCAAUAGAAAUUUUAAACAAGAUGGUAGUAAUGUACCUUUUAAAACUAGACUUUAUUUUCAAUUAUCUUUACAUAAAAAAGACGAAAAUCUAUUAGAGUUAUUGAAAGAUAACUUAAAAGUAGGUAAAAUUUAUAAAUCUCGUCCUGAGGCUUAUGAGUUUCAAGUGUCUUCAAUAAAAGAUAUAAAAUUGAUAAUAGAGUUUUUUGAUAAAUAUCCUUUAAUUACCCAAAAAUAUGGGGACUACGAGCUUUUUAAACAAGCAUAUGAAUUAAUUAGUAAUAAACAACAUUUAACUAAUGAUGGUUUAUUAAAAUUAAUAGCUUUAAAAGCAUCUAGUAAUUGAGGUCUUAAUCAAACUUUAAAAGAAACAUUUACUAACAUUGUUCCUAUUACUCGUGUACAACCGGAUAAUAAAAUACCUAGUCCUGAAUGGUUACUAGGUUUUGUUAGUGGAGAAGGUAAUUUUAUGAUUAGACUAUUGAAUUCUCCUGCUAAUAAAUUAGGGUAUCAAGUUGGAUUAAGAUUUCAGAUAACUCAACAUAAUAAAGAUAAGUUAUUAAUGGAAAACAUAAUAAACUAUUUAGGAUGUGGAUAUUUAUCUGUUCGAAAAGAUAUUAUAGAUUUUCAUGUUACUAAGUUUAGUGACAUAGUAGAAAAAGUAAUACCUUUUUUUAACAAAUACCCUUUAUUAGGAGUUAAACAAAAAGAUUUUGAAGACUUCAAGUUAGUUGCUUCUAUCAUUAGUGAUAAAAAGCAUUUAACGGAACAAGGUCUAUCAAAAAUAAAAGAGAUAAAGUUAGCUAAAGAAAAUGACAAGCCAAUAUAAUUGAAACCCACAAAAAUGAAAUUUUGUAUUCCGAUGAUAAAUCUGAUCGCUGUGCGUAACAGAGCGCUUGUUAAGUUAUAAAAGCAUCGAAAAUUUAACGGAUCUAAACAAUAUACCGAAACCUUGUCCAUGAUAUAUUAUAAUGAUAAUAUUAUUAUAAUUUAAUGGGGUAGCAGAACGUUGAGCUAAAUUACGAGUUUUAUUUUUUUAAAUAGAAUGAUAAUGAUUUAACUCAAGUGAGAAUGGUGACAUGAGUAACUAAAAGAAAAUUUUCCGCCUUAAGCUUAUGGAUAUAUUUAAGUAACGGCCUCUAAGUUUAUAUUAUCUAAAGAUUUAAACGAUGAGAAAAUCUUUUUUACUAAGGACGACAUUUUAGUGUAAAAUGUACUGGAAAAAUAGUAAAUAUAUUUAUAGUAAGCGUAAGUUUAUUAUAAAUGAAGAAUAACCGUACCUAGAAUCUGAAACAAGUAAGCUAGUAGAGAAUACGAAGGCGUAAAUGGGCUAACAAUCAUAAAGGAACUCGGCAAAUUGACUACCGUAACUUCGGAAUAAGGAGGGCUCAUUAUUCUUGAUUAAUAUCAAGUAAAGAGGAAGAAGCAUGAAAUAAUGUUGUACGACUGUUUAAUUAAAACACAGCACUCUGCUGAAAGAUGAAAAAUCUAAGUAUAGAGUGUGAUAUCUGCCCGGUGCCGGCUGGUUAACAGAGAUAAUUUAAUAUACUACUAUUUGAUGUCGACGGAAACCCCGGUUAAAGGCGGCCUUAACGUGAGGGUCCUAAGGUAGCGAAAUGCCUUGGCCGUUAAAUGCGGUCUUGCAUGAAUGGUGUAACGAUACAACAGCUGUCUCUAUGAUUGACCCAGUGAAAUUGGAAUAGCAGUGCAGAUACUGCUUACCUCUAGUUAGACGAGAAGACCCUAUGCAGCUUUACUGUCACUAAUUAUAGAUUAUGAUAGACAAUUUUCAGAUUAUAAGGUAAUUGAUUUAUGACAAUGAGAAACCUUUAUUUUUCUUUCAUAUGAAUGAAUUGGUUUAGGAGUAUAAGUAGAUUAUAGUUUAUGUGACUUUACUGAGUCAACUUGUUAAAUUAUAGUCUGUAUGCUUAUACUAGUAGAUCAGCCUAAUUCAACUUACUAUAUUUAUUAUAGUAGGUACCCUUUGGUAAGGAACUAUCGCUAGGGGACAGUUUAUGUGGGGCACAGACCCUGUAAAGAGUAAACAGGAGUGUCUAAAAAUUUAUAAAUAUUUUGUUUGCAAUUUUGAAUAAGAAUUUAUUCUUAUUUUUAAUCAUAUACAAUUGAUUAUAUUUGCAUUUAUUGUAAAUAUAGUUAAGAUUAGGUAGGAUUUUCACUAUAUAGAAAUUAGAGAUAAUAAAAAUAUUAUGGAGAAGUUCUUCUAAUAUUUUUUAGCUAUUUAUUAAAUAGUUAUGUUUACAAUAUCUAAAAAGCUCAACGGCUUAAUCCUGCCUUACUGUUUGAUUAUCUACAAAUCUUACAGUUGCGUAAGCAGGGCAUAGGAUCACAAGAUGCAACAAGGAAAGAUCUUGGAUUAUUGGAAAAGCUACGCUAGGGAUGUUUGUCCUUUAAUAUUUUAUAUUGUAUGGUUAACUAAAGUUAUACCUCUGUACGGUGUAUACCUGCAUGCAAACAUAUAAAAUUAUUAAUAUAAAUUGGGUAAAUUUCAAGAAU
rnacentral:rRNA from 1 species